rnacentral:lncRNA from 13 species
GAACUAUUAAGAGUAUACAAUUUUCUUUAAAAAUUACUUUUUAUUUCACUAUUCUCUAUUCGCAGCAAGGAAACUUUUACACUAGCGUCUUGUAUACGACAAACAUCGGAUAUUGGAAAAAGGUUUUGCUUUGAUAUCACUGCCAUUGAUAUCACUGCCAUAAACCUAAAGCCAAUUUCAAUAUGCUGAUUCUUCUCAUUACUCAUCUUUGCACGAUCUACCACCUUCACCUUUGGUACUCCAAACACCAUCAUCACUGGAACUAAAUUUGGUCUUGACAGUACGAUUGCGUCUACAACGUCCACGACGAGUGUGCCGAGCUUUAGCUUUUUUAGUAGUACAGCGCCGGCAUCCGCGGCGCCAGGGUUUUCAUUCGACGCCGCGAAAACGGGUACAACCACAACCUCAACCACUGGAGGAAUCACUCUCGCGACAAUUACAGCAAGAUUCAAUUUUGGAAUGGAAACGUCGACGACUACCUUCACAGAAUUUCCUUUCAGCAAAACUACUUCCAACUACUUCUGCCGUUUUUACAAUAAGUAUAGCAGCAUCUUUCAUUCUUCGUUAAGUACCACCACUACGUAAGUAAUGUACGUAAGUAAACUACGUAAGUAAUCACAAAAUUUAGGGCACAUACGCAUAAGGAGAGGUUUUUAGGGGGUAGGCGAUGUGGGUAGUAUCGCAGCGAUGUACCCACAUCGAAUCCUCCACACCCUGGUGUACGGGCAACAGGGCGUCUUCUCCUUCUUCGUCGGCCGUCAGAAUAGCCGAUCGGAGAAGGAUAGCACCGGUACGUAAGUCCUCGAUGGACCGCUUCUCCGCUUCUGGUCUGACUGGUUGUCACUGGUCGUAAAAGGAGCGUUAAUUCCAUGAGCGGUAUUCUAUCAGGGGCUAUUAAUUUCUGUCAACUCGAAGAAUGUAUUAAUAAAUGGACCUUGGAGUUGAAAGAGCAAGAAUAAGUACUUGUGAAUCAAGCGACACAAGUUAAUGCUUGGGACAAAUGGGGACAAAAUAGUAAUGCUGAAUCAAGAAGUUGAAAGAGUGAAAAUCGAGUGGCAGCAAUUGGAUUAUGUUGUUGGACAACAGAAAGAGUUGCAAGAAUGUUUAGUACCAUUAGAAAAG